GUGAUGGAAGGAUGCUGGGUGUAGUCAAGUACUUGACUUGUCGGUGCGUGUGUCAAGAUGGGAUUGAUCACUCCAGUUCAGGAGCUGUGUACAGUCAUGUUUCAAUUUAGCAAAAUCUUGGCCAGGGUAGUCCUAGUGAGGAGUCACAGGACUGUUAGAGUUGAGCACGACUCGGAUGAUCUAAUUAGGGUUGACAGUUU
rnacentral:lncRNA from 1 species